AUUGAACGCUGGCGGCAGGCCUAACACAUGCAAGUCGAGCGAGCGGCGGACGGGUGAGUAAUGUCUGGGAAACUGCCUGAUGGAGGGGGAUAACUACUGGAAACGGUAGCUAAUACCGCAUACCAUCAGAUUUGCCCAGAUGGGAUUAGCUAGUAGGUGGGGUAACGGCUCACCUAGGCGACGAUCCCUCGCUGGUCUUAGAGGAUGACCAGCAACACGGGAGCGUAGACACGGUCCAGACUCCUACGGGAGGCAGCAGGGGGGAAUAUUGCACAAUGGGCGCAAGCCUGAUGCAGCCAUGCCGCGUGUGGGAAGAAGGCCUUCGGGUUGUAAAGCACUUUCAGCGGGGAGGCGUUACACGCAGAAGAAGCACCGGCUAACUCCGUGCCAGCAGCCGCGGUAAUAC
rnacentral:rRNA from 1 species